AUUCCAGCCUCUUCUACAGGUAUUUAUCCUGGGAUGGAUAUCCUGUAUUUAUCCUCGAUGAUGAAUGUUUUGUAAAUAAAACAUAAACUACUGGAGGGGAGAAGACCAACAUCUGUGCUAUAGUUGCGUACCAUCUCCUAUAGUCCUUGUCUGAGACACUCUUUUCCGGGCAUUGUUAAUACUCACGAUUGGAAUCGCUCUCCGUUUACCUCGCCUGAUUCUGCUGGGACACCCGGGGGAUUUUCCAAGGCUACGAGCACAGGACUGUGUGGUGGUCAUUGCCAGGCAGUGAUGCUGCAGUAGAAGAUACUCUUUCCUGUGGUUUACCAAUAAACCAGCAGGACACUUUGCUGCUAGCAGCCCUAUACUACUGAGAAUUGUUUUUCAGACAGGACUGGAUACCUAAUUAUAAAGAAAUAUGGAAAAUUAUAGUGUGUCAGGAACCGUUAUGUCCUUUCAAGAAUCCUGUCUGACAGUCCGAUGAUGCUCAGGAAGCCAAGACCGUCCUGGUGCCGUCCCAGAGGAUAAGGAUUAACAACCUGGGAAGCAACGAAAGAAGAUUCACGCCGACGGGAGGAAGAAAGAUGCAUGUGUAGUUUGAGUUCAUCUUGGCAGAGUCAUGCUGCAAAUGCCAACCCGACAGUUUUAGUGCUGGCAGGAAAUGAAAUGUAGGAGGGGGCCUCGCAAGCGAUGGCUCGCUCUCGCUCAGCGUGAGCUACGGCGGGGAGGCUGCCGGCACUAAUAACCCCCCGCGUGCUCGAGGUGGCUCUCCUCUGCGAGUACACGUCAAGGUGACAAAAUACGCCAACAGACAGAUGAUUGUUCAUCUCGGGCUGUUGCUGCUCGGUGGCAAGAGAGAUGUGAGCUGAGAUGUUUUUGCCUCGGGCAACAAGAUGUAUCUAUGGAGAAGUUGAGGACGUGGCUGUACCUGAAUUACCUUUAAACUAGCUAGGACAACUGUGACAGCAGGGCGGCAGAGGUCAGCGCAGGCCACCAAAUUCACUUGGGACGCUAUGUAGAUACAGCAGGCUUUCUGUACGGAGCAAGCCAACGCUGGGAAACGCUUUACUUGCAGUUACCCCCUGAAAUAGUCCCACUGUGGUUUGAACAUGCAUCUCCAAGGGGAAAUUCAUGAUAGAUUUGGUCUUUGUGGCCACAGAAGUGGUGUAAACCUUUGUUGUCCUUCUCAGUCGUAUCUGUUGGAGUGCGGCACGAUGUGUCUGACCUGCUACCAUGUUGAGCUCUUCUACAUAAUUGCCCUAGUACCAGUAUUUCACAUUAGUUUUAACAGACACUUUUAGUGUUGUUACUUCUGGAGGAAAUUCCCCUGAGGCUUAAUGUCUGUCAGUCCAGAAUCCCGAGCAGGUUUCGGAGGAGAUUAUGUCCUUAGGGAAAGCGCCAGCAUUUUGUCUUACAAAUAGCUGAGGAAAGGAAAGUGUCACACUUCUCCCAAAACAAGUUCAAAAUCAGUUCAAACUAAGAUAUUGUGGCAUUUCUUCCUCUGCUUUGUGCAUCGGGAACAUGGGCUGCUGUAGCCUUGGCAGUAAAGAAAAAGACAGUAUGAUGCCAUUCAGACGUAAAAAGUCAGGAGUUAUAAAACACAGGGGUAUCUCCUGCCCCCUUUGAGGGGUAUCAAUGCGGGGACUGAGGCACAAGUGGGCAACGGGUUGGAUCCAGCACCAAGCAAAGGGUGCUGGGCUGGGCUGGCCCACGGGAUCGCGAGGGAAGGAGCUGGCGCAGGGUUAUCACUUGGGUCCUGCACCAUGAGCAGGGUGCUGGGCAGCCUUGUCUGGUUUUUAACCAGUUCCACCUAGCUUAGACCUUGCCCGGCUGCCUGGUGGAAGCUAUAGCAAGAAUAGCUGGGAUCUGUGAGCAUGCAAUGAAUUUCCUCCUGGAGAAGAAACACUGCUGCUUAUUAGGGUUUCCACAGCUCUUUAUGGCUGGCACCCCCUACCCAUACGGCAAAGUGGAACCCAGGGGGUUAAAUGUGAGCAAAAAGGGUUUUUUUUUUUUCUAUUCAAACUGGGUGCUUUGCUGCAGGUAUGUUGGAUCCCUGCUGGGUACAGCAGAGCUGGAAACCAAGGUGCUUUUGUAGAAGUUGUUUCUGUAUUGGUGGUAAAAAGAGGAAGGCUUUGAUGAGGCUUCCAGUAGUAGUGCACUGGUGACUGAGUUGUUUUUCCAGGAAAAGUGGCCAUCAAAGUGCUUAUUAGGAAAAAUAUUUUGAUUGAAUGCAACCCAGCAAACAUCUGCUGGUUGGAAAACGUUGAAAAUACGUUAUUUAUAUAUGUGUUUGGGGAAAGCUUUGCCACUCUUCAUAUGUUUGAAAUCACAGCCCCCUGAGUCUAAUGGAAAUGCGGUUUGCACCUGGGGGAGAAGAAGAAAGAAGAAUAACCCAAAGAAGAUGACUCUAGGAGGUGGUAACCCACACGCUGCUCUCAGUUGUGCUGCCUAAAUUUCAUCGGGGAAAUUGCUGUUCAUUUGUGAAACAGCUGUCACACUUCAGUUUUAUCAGGGUACACAUGGAAUAAUGAGAUUGUAUCUGCACAAAUAAAAUCAUGUCUUGCCUUUGAAAUUUAAGGCAGGAUUUUAGCUGGUAAGAAAAACAGCUUUAUUUAUUUAUUUUAUUAAAAGAGCACACUGUUGCCUUUCCAUUGUAACUUUCUGAAACUGGAAACUAAAAUCUCCCCAUUUCUUCCUUCUCCUCCCCUUUUGUUUUGCCACGAACACAUACAGCAUCCCAAAAUUUCCCCUCUCUCUGCUCUGCACAAACGAGCCAUGAGCUCGAAGGGUUGUCCACGUGGGAUAGAUUUUUGCAGGUGUUGUUGUAAUCUCCCCAGUUUGUUUGCUAUGACACAACGUGCUUUUAUAGGUUUUGUUUCUUACUAAGAGCUGGUUUUUCCUGCUCUGUCAUGGGCUAUAGAUUUUUUUUUCUUCUGCUUUACACAAGUUACAUGCCUUUGCUUUUGCAAAGCUAACUUUUCAUUCUAGCUCUGUCAAAGAAUUUAUCCUUGCAGCUACUUGCUGUUUCACAGAUCACAGCCAUUACAGGGAAAUCCGUGGCAAUACAGCACCUCCGUUAGGCAAGCUCUGCCCCAAAAGGCGAUACGAAGCAUAAUAAAUACAGUUCAUUUUCCUAUUUCUCAAAAGAUUCUCUUCAUUACGCUGCUGAGUUUUGCUAAUCUCCCCUGUGGCUACGUAAGACACAGGUUUGUCUGUGUUGAUUUUCCUCCGCAGAUCGUUGUAGCUCUCACGCACUUUGGACUCAUCUCGUGUGCUUGAUGCGGCUCGUUGCCUCUGGAUGCGCAGCAGGACAGAGGAAGCUGUUGUCGUAAGAAGGCAUCUGUGUAGAGAUCGUUUGUUGGACCUGGAGCUGGACUGGUUGGUAAAGGACCACAGAAGAUCUGUCCAUGUAGAAAGUGAGUUUAAUUGCUUGCUGCAGGUACCUGAAACUGAAAAUGCUUCUGCUUUGUGCAUGCUGAUACACACACCAUGGCCUCUCUGCCUCUUCAUGCAGAGCGGGUGAGCCAUAGUGAUUUGUGGAGCAGAAAGAACAGCUUCUGUCUUGCAGGGUAUUGGCAUAAAGACUUUGGCACGAGAAAGACACAGGCAGCUCCACUUAUAUAAUUUAGGAAGGAGAUUUCUCUGAGGAGACACAACCAGAUGCUGUGGCUGUUUUCAAGGUUUUCCAUUGUGCAUUCCUGUUGAGACUGAGCAGAAAUGUCUACAAAGCAUUUUGAAGUGACUCUCUUCAUCCCCGUAUGAAACCAGUGGAGGUUUUGCUUUCCUGGAGAACAAAACUGACAGACUAGAUCAAUUUAUUGCAGUUUGCAUGUGUUAAACAGGUAAAUGUGCACUGUAAGGCUGUACGGGAACUGCUAGGUUGGAGAUCGUACUGCUAGGCGGCUGCAGGAGCAAGGUACAGCGCCGUCACUGUUACAUGAGCGAAAGCACUGGGAUUCGGGAAGUCUGUUCUCCGUGGGGCAAAUCGCAGCUCUGGUCCCCUGGUGCAGUGCCAUGGAAACAGCAAAAUUACAAUAGUCCCUUUUGUCCAGGCCUUUGAGCCCUGGCGGUAAUUGGAGACCUUUGUAGUUCACCCCUGUCGACUGAGAGGUUUAGAAUAACGUGGAAGAGCGGUAAAUCCAUUAGUGGGCAAUGUUGGGGAGGCGGAGAGAGCGGGAAGGUACGGCCCAAGUUAGAGGGGAUCCAUAUUAGUUGGGUGGUGCGGACGCAUGACUCUGUUAUAGCCAUGGUGAGAGGAGGAAAGGCCUUUAGCAUUGGUUCUGCUGCUCCCCUGCUUGACGACUAUAAAAGUCACAGAUCUGGCUCCUUUUCUAUUCUCUGUUCUGCCUCCGUUUUCCCUGUCCAUAGCUGCACGUUCCUUUCUCCCUAAGGCAGCUCGUGUUAUGUAUAAAGUGUCUGAAAACGACUGGCAACCGUGUUUCUGGGAACUCUGGGUCCAAAUCUCAGCUGGAUGGGCCAACACAUCGUUCUGCCAUUACGGUAAGAGGACCAAAUGUUUGCGUAUGCUCCAAUGAGGCACGAUACACAUUCACGGCGUGACUUCAUUUUUCCUCCGUCUGGAAAAUGAGGCUGACAGUACUUGUUUCCCAAGUGACAUGGAAGAGCCAGUUGAAUGCACACGAAGGAUCUUGAUGUCGUCUGCGCUGACGCUCGUCUCCACGGCGCUCGGAGAGAGGCAGGCGCCAGUGGACCGAGCUUCCCCAGAGGAUGAGUUGGGAUCGUCCCUGGUGUCAGUCGUUUUCUCCUGCCGUCCUCCAGUCCGUUGCUCCUCGUCUCUCCCGCAAACCCAGGCCAGGCUGCCCUUUACCUCACUGUUAACGCUGUUUCGUAGCAACUGCAUCCUUCCCACUGUUUGACACCGAACAGUCGCCUGAACCUCCUCAAUGUCUUGCUGAGCAGGGCUGCCCAGCAAGGCAGGUGGGUACCGCUUGGCAAGGCUUCCCCUGACUACCCGGACUUGCCGUGCUGCUUCUUGUGCCCCUUCUCUCCCAGAAAACAGCCCAAUCCUGUAGGGGAGCAACCUGCCCCCCAGCCUUUUCUUUCCCAACACAACAUCUCCCUAGAAAGUGCGAAGGACGGAGAGAUGCAUUCAUUCUUGCAAUUGCCAGUUGUUCAAUAAGACACCUUAAUUCAUCAUUAGCCAGUUUUCAGGCUCAGGGAUGUUAAAGAUAAAACUCUGGAGUACUGGCCAUCGGUACUAGUAUCUGACUAGUGAGGAAGAAGAAAUGAUGUGCAAUUUCUGUAAAUGAGGUGGCUGGUUUGUUUUGUUGUUUUCUUGCGGCGCUCUGCUAGGCAGCUAGCAAGGGCCGGACAAGUCCCAUCGCGCCCAGAGUUAACAAUAAGAGAAUGAUAUAAACGGUAAUUUUUUGGCAAAGGCAAACAGUCACAUUCGGCUCUCUGCUUCAUUAGAGAAAAAUAUGUAGGAAUUCGAGUGCAGUCAGCAGAGCAAUUCUAGAUUUACAUCCAGGUAACAGAAUUUCGUCCAAAGAGACUGAAAAGAACUGAUGUAUCACUUUUAUUUAGUUGAAUAUAGCUGUCCUGCUCUGUUCAGGAGAAUAUUUUAACCAGAACCCAUAUAAUAUUGCCUGUACUGUAUGACUAAUUUCUACAGCAAUACUAAUUCAAUUCUGUAGCAAUUUAUUGACUUGGAGGGAAAUAAAUUGCUUGGCAGAAUAAUGGAAAGAAGAAAGACUCUAGCAGGAGGGUUAAGUAUGGCAGAUUUCAUUGACCACAGGAGUACUAACUAAUACAGUGAAACGAAGUUCCUAUAAGAACAAUAAAUAAGGAGCUUAAUAUAUCACGAGCAGGUACGACCUGCUUAAUCUUUGGAAAGGCACUGUGCUUUUGCCUGCUUGGAAAUUAGACUCCAUCUUGCCCAACAUACAAAUUGUUUCAGAGCCUCAAGCCAUUAAUUUGUAAGUAACACAGAAAAUAAUGGUUAUUAUUACAGUGCUUCAGCUAAUUUCAUCUCCAUAUCGUUGCCACGCUAAAUCGGGGAAAAACGGCUAAAAGAUGUAAAUUCUUCUUAAGAGGAAGGGGGGAGAGUGUUUGUGUGGCGGUGUUUUUUUUUUUUCCAAUAUUAUAGAUGAUGUUGAUAAACUCAUAUUAAGUGAAAACUGGGUUUAGCUCUUCUGUUCCCCUGCAGGUUAUACAAUUAUUAAAAUGCAGAGAUUAUAAUGUAAUUCAUUUAAAUCUGUUCUGAGGAAUGUGGAAUAAAAUAUUCUAAAUGACUCAGACUUGCUGAGUUUUUGAGGACCUUUUCAGAAAUGAAUUUCUAGGUGACUGAAUGAAUCCAGGAAGAUUAAGCAACAGAAAUACCCUGCUUAAGUAAUGAACUAGUCACGGCAGCCUUUAUGGACUAGGAACAGACAUUUUGGUCAUUUACCCUCCUUAGCUGAGUUGGAAACUGCCCUCCCUCAAUUCGCUUUUACUCUACUGUGGAAGUUUGUACAGAGCACUGAGGCUCUAACAAAUACCCCACUUAAAUGGUGAGAAUAUAACAACAUACCAGGUGAACAAAUGUUUUGUUAUUCAUGAGAAUAAUGCUGAGUUCAGAUUCCUAAUUUGUCAAACUGGAGACCAAGGUCAACAUUUAUUGUUGGGGCGAGCAGUCGUAACUGGUCUGAGAAGGUUAGAUCUUUGGAAAUUAUCCCAAUAUCAUCUCAGAAGAACACGUUUCUGUGAAACCUAGGUGUCCCCGCUAGUCCCCCCCAAAAAGCACAGGUUAUGCAGCCCUUCCAGGCAGACAAACUGGCAGAGCUGGGUCAGGAGAGGAUCUCAGAAUCACAAAGAAAAAUAAUGGGACUUCCCGCUCUUCACCUAGGCCGCUCUCCUCUCCCCGCUGAGCAGAGCUAGCACCGACCAUCCCCACAGUCUUAUGUGGCACCUCUCAUCCAUGGGCAGCAGUGAUGUCUCAGAGGUUGCCUGUAGGAUGGUGACACCCCUGAACAAUAUUUCUUUCACACAGGUGGAAACCAGAGGACAGAGGGCUGAAGGACUGGACUUCUGCAUGACUUAAACAGGAGUUGUAUGUCUGAUGCUGCACAUGGCAGGAGAGGCACCAGUUGUCUCAUCAGACGAGUCCCAGUGAUGGUAUCCCUGCUGCUGUUGGAGAAAGACUUUGUGCUUUGGGUAGUGUAACGACUCCCCAUCUUUUUGUAGCUGAGUCUGAGAGAACUGGGGAUGUUCUGCCUUCCACCUCCUGCUCCUGCUUCUGCCAGCUCAAGGAGCUCCACCACGCUUCCUGCCUCUCUGAGACCGUGCAGACACCCGAACUGGCCCUGCAGCGAAACCGCGGCAGAGCGUGUGCUAGGAUAGCUGAGGAGAUGGAUGAUUUUUUUGUCUGCUGGCUAAUCACCCAAGCUGGCAAAGAUAUUCUGAGAAAAGAAUCCCAAGGGAAGAAAUGCUGCAAAUGCACAGAAGAGCAUUUGCACACGUUUGCAAAUGCACAUCUUCAUCAAGGACAUAAGGCAGUGAGUGCCAAUGAACGACUGACCUCUCGGAUGACUCAUAUUCCCUCAUUCUAUAGGAAACUGUGCUGGUAAAGAGACGCGGAAUCAAACAGGGAUGUGGAUGUUCUCCUAACCCGCCUGAGUUUCACAUCUGAAUCAUCCAAAUGGGGUAUCUGUUAGCCGCCAAAUAAAGAAGAUGGAGCAGCCUAUUCACAUAGAACUGUAUUCAGCAAACCUAAAAGAUACACUAGAUCUCUGGUACAUCACAGGUAUUUGCUUAAAAUAAAUUGUGCAUUCACAAGUCUAUUUCCAUGUUCAAAAUACAGCAUUUAAUAGGUAUCUAAUUCCUUUGUGUACUGCUGCCAAUCUCUGUAAUGCAUUAUUGGCGAGAAUGCUGUUUUUCAACUCCUGAUUGCAAAACAGGCUCCUUUAUAUCUAGUUUCAGAAUUAUGACCUGCUUUGUCAUGCUGCUUUGACAGUUGUUCUUAGCAGGUAUGCUAGCACCAUGGCCAUGCAGUGAUUGAAUGCCAGUACUUUAUAGGCCAGGGCAGUUGUGCUGUACUUUAAUAAGCAAUUCAUUCUUGUUUCAGGGAAAAUAAAGUAUACAGCAUGCUAGAACAUGUGCACUUAAGUAAGCUAUAAAUCUAGAAAAAUGUCUGAACAGCUGAAUUCCAAGUGGCUUCAAUUUAUAUUUUUCUCUCUCUCUUAUUCCAGGCUCACCUCCCAUAGAUCAGCAUUACUGUGGUGUACUAUAUUUCAUAAGCAGUGAUAUAUUUCAUAAGAAAUAAGAACUCAUGCACUGAAAACAGGCCUCACAAUCAACAAGCAUACAUGCUGUCCCUAGACAUCAUGGGAGUUGCUGGGGAGCCCUACCAGUAGACUGUGAAGACAUCUUUGGCUGCAUCCAGUGGAAGUACUGAGAGCCAAAGGAUCAGAGUGAAUAACUGCUUGUCUAGAUUUGUUACUGGCAACAUACUCAGGGUUUUCUCUGAAGUCAUACUUGAGAUCAGAUAUAUGUUCAUUGCUUGAGUACUACUGCAAAAAAAUGUUACUGGUGCAUUAAAGUAAGUAUGCCACUGAGGUAGCAUGUGCAGUGAAGACUAAAUCCUGUAAUACAUCAUUUUGAUAUCUCUUAUAUAAGUUAUUUAAAACAGAUUAAAAUUGUUUCUGUACUAUUUUGUUUACUGAACAGACCAUGAUGCUAAGAAAAACCUGCACUGAAGGAAAUAAAAUAGUCAGACCCCUUAGAAGCAAGUGUCUUUUCACUUGCUUGAGCGUAUAAUACAAGUUUUAAUCAGACAAUAGUGAGCUCCAGUUUUUCUUUGUUCCCCAGGGCUUAAAGUUCUCCCUUGAAGACCAAUUGUUUUGUCUUACUGAAGUUCUUGCAGUUUGGUUUGAAGAAAGUGUUUACUGAUUAAACUAGUGACAGUUCUGUGGAGCUGCUAGAAAUUUUGAAAGGACAGUAUUUGCCUUUUUCGUAAAAGGCUAUUUGCUUUCAUUGAUAAUAGCUGUAGUAAUCAAGCCAUGCAAGUGAUAUAUAGGUGAACAAGCUGUUACAGUUUAGGCUGUGAUCACUGCUAGGGAAGUCCAGAUACCUUAGAAACUGAACAAGACUGCUUAGCUUGUUUCCUGUAAUACUGCCAAAACUGAUCAUUACUGUUUUCGUGCUUUAACAGGGUAGACAUGCUCUUUGCAAACCUCCCUUACUAUUAAAAACUGGGCAGUCUGUCACAGAAAUAGCAUAGGUCUCUCUGUUACAAGUAAAUAGCUGAAAGUCAAGAGGUUGACAGUGCAGAGUAAUAAAAAAAUCAUUGCUUGUUUAGUGGUUGCAAAUUGUCUCAUUAAGCAGCAUUAUUCUUUUUAUACAGUCUGUGAGUAAUUUUAUGUCUGUAGAGCAUUUUGGAUUGAGUGACAGUUCUGACAAUACAAGCUUCUAGCAUUAAUGAUGAGUAUAAUAUAUAGCAUCUGUGUAUAGCAGCAAGCAUUUUCUAAAUUAGGUGAUGGCAAUGAAUUAAUGCAGGCAUUGUACAGGUAAGCUUAUCUCAAGCUUUGGAACUGUGUGAAUAAAUUUAAUUAUAAGUUUAUCCCCUAUAUAAAUAUCAGGAAAUUAAAAGGAUUUUAUUAGAGCAA